rnacentral:rRNA from 1 species
UUUGAUCCUGGCUCAGGAUUAACGCUAGCGGCAUGCCUAAUACAUGCAAGUCGAACGAAAGUAGCAAUACUUUAGUGGCGAACGGGUGAGUAACACGUAUCUAACCUACCAUUUAGUGAGGAAUAACUKUUGGAAACAACAGCUAAUACCGCAUAUGUUAUUUAUUUGCAAUGAUAAAUAAUGAAAGGAGCAUUUGCUUCGCUAAUUGAUGGGGAUGCGGCGCAUUAACUAGUUGGUAAGGUAAUGGCUUACCAAGGUAACGAUGCGUAGCCGAUCUGAGAGGAUGAACGGCCACAUUGGGACUGAGACACGGCCCAAACUUCUACGGAAGGCAGCAGUAGGGAAUUUUUCACAAUGGGCGAAAGCCUGAUGGAGCAAUGCCGCGUGACUGAUGAAGGUCUUCGGAUUGUAAAGGUCUGUUGUAAGAGAAGAAGUGCUAGAAUAGGAAAUAAUUUUAGUAUCGACCAUACCUUACCAGAAAGCCACGGC